rnacentral:lncRNA from 1 species
GCUGGACAGUGUCUGCGAGGCAACCAACAUGAAGUUGACAGAACUCCGGGAGGCAGUGGAAGAUAGUGCUCUGGUCCAUGGGGUCACGAAGAGCCGGACAUGACUGAACGACUAAACAACAAUGUAGUCUGAGCUAAAUGGUUAAUAGUUAGGCCAGUACAGUGGCCCCUCGACUUACAGAUGGCUUGACUUACCGACUUUUAAGUUACAGACUUCUCUGGCUGCAAAAUUUAGGUUCGACUUGCAGCCAGAGAAUCGAUCUACAGACCAGGAAAAAAACCAAAAUGGAACAAAAAUGGAACAAAAACGGCCGGUUACAGGAUUGAUCGGUUAUCAAUGCAUUGUAGGUGAAUGGAGACUCGACCUACAGACUUUUCAACCUGCAGCCACUGUCCCAAUACGGAUUAAUUCCGUAAGUAGAGGGUCCACUUGUAUCCCAUUCAGCGUUCCAUACAGGUAGCUGCAGGUACAGAAGCAGCAAAGUCCCAUCAUCUGCCUGAUCAUGUGGCAGUUUGGUUGUGCCAGCAGGAGACUAGACCUCUCAACAUCAGCCACUUCCACAUUUGCUGUUAGAAAACUGAACAGCCACAACGGCCCGAGCUGUUUUCUAGCUUUCCCAUUUGCCUCCUCUUCAACCAUUACAAUUUCUGCAUUAGGUUGCUGGCUACAGUAAAGGUUUCCAUGACCUCUGUGACCUUAAUUGUAUUCAGGACCUCUCCUACUGUGGUUUGCCCUUUGCUCCAUGCAUGGCAUCCUCUUUUGUCUGUCGUUGUGGCCAAAUAUAGACUGUCUCUUUUAUCCUCAGUCCUUUAUUACAAGAUUCCUAGAUGGUCACCCUUGUGACCAAGGUGGUGAAUCAUCAAGCGAUAGAACCAAAGAGUCUCCAUGUAGGGAGAGAAUUACAGGGCAGGAGACAGCCAGGGGUGUCUGGAGAGAGUCAUCCACCUUCCAACCAGGGCAGGGUCUUUCCCUAUCCAACUACAUGAGACAAAGUUGAUUCCUCACUCUCUACACCAACCCAGUGAACUUGCCACAUACCCCAUCCUAUGAUGACAGGACCUUAAAACCAACCAGCUUUCCUCACUGGAUGGGGGUUGAAAGCGAUGACCAGAAAACCAGCUACAGUAUUUCAUCACAGAAAACAUGAACUCCAAUCCAGUCACUGACCCCAAGUAUCUUUAUACUAAUUGAAUAUGUAUGAAUCAUUGGUUUUGAAAAUACAUGUGUUGCUUAAGAGCAGUCAUUUUAAACUUAGCAAUAUUCUUCUGCCUAUAAUGAAUAUUUUCUUUAAAUAAACAGUCUUCCACUCCAGGAGGCA